AUUCUGGUUGAUCCUGCCAGUAAUUAUAUGCUUGUCUCAAAGAUUAAGCCAUGCAUGUCUAAGUACACACGAAUUAAAAGUGAAACCGCAAAAGGCUCAUUAUAUCAGUUAUGGUUCCACUCCCAGCUCGGGGAGUUAGUGACGAAAAAUAACAAUACAGGACUCAUAUCCGAGGCCCUGUACACUUUAAAUCCUUUACCAAGGACCAAUUGGAGGGCAAGUCUGGUUCCAGCAGCCGCGGUAAUUCCAGCUCCAAUAGCGUAUAUUAAAGUUGUUGCGGUUAAAACGUUCGUAGUUGAACUUGUGCCUCAUACGGGUAGUACAACUUACAAUUGUAGUUAGUACUAUACCUUUAUGUAUGUAAGCGUAUUACCGGUGGAGUUCUUAUAAAUAAUUAAGUACUUGUAUUUUUUUAUAUAUUCCUCCUAUUUAAAAACCUGCAUUAGUGCUCUUCAUCGAGUGUUAUUGUGGGCCGGUACAAUUACUUUGAACAAAUUAGAGUGCUUAAGGCAGGCUUCAAAUGCCUGAAUGUUCUGUGCAUGGGAUAAUGAAAUAAGACCUCUGUUCUGCUUUCAUUGGUUUUCAGAUCAAGAGGUAAUGAUUAAUAGAAGCAGUUUGGGGGCAUUAGUAUUACGACGCGAGAGGUGAAGUUCUUGGACCGUCGUAAGACUAACUUAAGCGAAAGCAUUUGCCAAAGAUGUUUUCAUUAAUCAAGAACGAAAGUUAGAGGUUCGAAGGCGAUCAGAUACCGCCCUAGUUCUAACCAUAAACGAUGCCAGCUAGCACUUGGGUGUAGCUAGUUUUAUGGCUCUCUCAGUCGCUUCCCGGGAAACCAAAGCUUUUGGGCUCCGGGGAAAGUAUGGUUGCAAAGCUGAAACUUAAAGGAAUUGACGGAAGGGCACCACCAGGAGUGGAGCCUGCGGCUUAAUUUGACUCAACACGGGAAAUCUUAUCAGGUCCGAACAUAAGUGUGUAAGACAGAUUGAUAGCUCUUUCUCGAAUCUAUGGGUGGUGGUGCAUGGCCGUUCUUAGUUCGUGGAGUGAUUUGUCUGGUUAAUUCCGAUAACGAACGAGACUCAAAUAUAUUAAAUAGAUAUCUUCAGGAUUAUGAUGUUGAAGCUUAUAUAGCCUUCAUUCAUGGUGGCAGUAAAAUGUUUAUUGUGUUUGAAUGUGUUUAUAUAAGUGGAGCCGUACCUGUUAGUUUGUCCCAUUAUAAGGACACUAGCUUCUUAAAUGGACAAAUUGCGUCUAGCAAUAAUGAGAUUGAGCAAUAACAGGUCUGUGAUGCCCUUAGAUGUCCUGGGCUGUACGCGCGCUACCAUGAAAGUAUCAACGUGUAUUUUCUAGACCGAGAGGUCCGGGUAAACCACUGAACCACUUUCAUGCUUGGGAUUGUGAACUGAAACUGUUCACAUGAACUAAGAAUUCCCAGUAAGUGUGAGUCAUUAACUCGCAUUGAUUACGUCCCUGCCCUUUGUACACACCGCCCGUCGCUACUACCGAUUGAAUUAUUUAGUGAGGUCUCCGGACGUGAUCACUGUGACGCCUUGCGUGUUACGGUUGUUUCGCAAAAGUUGACCGAACUUGAUUAUUUAGAGGAAGUAAAAGUCGUAACAAGGUUUCCGUAGGUGAACCUGCGGAAG
rnacentral:rRNA from 1 species